rnacentral:lncRNA from 1 species
UUUUGAUUACCUUUGACGAAAAAAACAUAAGGUUAACUAAUCUACACUUAAAACAUCAACUCUAAACCCUAAAUCAUCAACUCUAAACUUUAAACUACGAAACAUCAACUCUAAACCCUAAAUCCCGAAACAUCAACUCUAAACCCUAAACCUUCAAAUCUAAACCCUAAUACAUCAACUCUAAACCCUAAACGUAAACCCUAAACCCUAAAUCUGAACUUAAACAUCAACUUUAAACCCUAGAUCAUCAACUCUAAACCCUAAACUUUGAAACAUCAACUCUAAACCCUAAACCCAGAAACAUCAACUCUAAACCCUAAAUCCUAAAUCUUCAAAUCUAAACCCUAAAACAUCAACUCUAAACCCCAAACGUAAACCCUAAACCCUAUAUUUUUCUGAAAUCCGAACCCUAAACCCUAAGACCCUAAACCUUCAAAUCUAAGCCCUAAAACAUCAACUCUAAACCCUAAACGUAAACCCUAAACCCUAAAACCCUAAACUUUCAAAUCUACACCCUAAAACAUAAACUCUAAUUUUAGGGUUUAUGGUUUAUGGUUUAGGGUUUAGGGUUUAGGGUUUAGGGUUUAGGGUUUAGGGUUCAGAGUUG